rnacentral:rRNA from 1 species
GACAGAGGUGCCGAGCGUUAGGCGGAAUCACUGGGCUUAAAGCGUGUGUAGGCGGCCCGUUAAGUACCUUGUGAAAUCCCACGGCUCAACCGUGGAACGGCUGGGUAUACUGGCGGGCUUGGGCCACCCAGGGGCGGACGGAACAGGCGGUGGAGCGGUGAAAUGCGUAGAUAUCGCCUGGAACGCCGACGGCGAAAAGCAGUCCGCUGGGGGGUGUGCCGACGCUGAGACACGAAAGCCAGGGGAGCGAACGGGG